UCAAGUGAAUAAGAGCAUGUGGUGGAUGCCUUGGCAAUGAUAGGCGACGAAAGACGUGAUAGCCUGCGAUAAGCUUCGGGGAGCUGGCAAAUUAGCUUUGAUCCGGAGAUUUCUGAAUGGGGAAACCCACCCUUCGGGGUAUCGCAUAGUGAAUACAUAGCUAUGCGAGGCGAACCGGGUGAACUGAAACAUCUCAGUAGCUCGAGGAAAAGACAUCAACCGAGAUUCCGAAAGUAGUGGCGAGCGAAAUCGGAGAAGCCUGUUAGUGAUAGCAAGACUCUUAGCAAAGCAAUCUGGAAAGGUUGGCCAUAGUGGGUGAUAGCCCCGUAUGCGAAAAGAGACUUGUGAUACUAAGCUAACGAAAAGUAGGGCGGGACACGAGAAAUCCUGUCUGAAUAUGGGGGGACCAUCCUCCAAGGCUAAAUACUCAUCAUUGACCGAUAGUGAACUAGUACCGUGAGGGAAAGGCGAAAAGAACCCCGGGAGGGGAGUGAAAUAGAUCCUGAAACCGCAUGCUUACAAAAAGUAGGAGCCUGGAAACGGGUGACUGCGUACCUUUUGUAUAAUGGGUCAGCGACUUACAUUCAGUGGCAAGGUUAACCGAAUAGGGAAGCCGUAGAGAAAUCGAGUCCGAAUAGGGCGAAAUUAGUCGCUGGGUGUAGACCCGAAACCAAGUGAUCUAUCCAUGGCCAGGAUGAAGGUGCCGUAACAGGUACUGGAGGUCCGAACCCACUAGUGUUGCAAAACUAGGGGAUGAGCUGUGGAUAGGGGUGAAAGGCUAAACAAACUUGGAAAUAGCUGGUUCUCUCCGAAAACUAUUUAGGUAGUGCCUCAAGUAUUACCGUCGGUGGUAGAGCACUGUUUUGGCUAGGGGGUCAUGGCGACUUACCAAACCAAGGCAAACUCCGAAUACCGACGAGUACAGCUUGGGAGACAGAGCACCGGGUGCUAACGUCCGGACUCAAGAGGGAAACAACCCAGACCGCCAGCUAAGGUCCCUAAAAUUGGCUAAGUGGGAAACGAAGUGGGAAGGCUAUAACAGUCAGGAUGUUGGCUUAGAAGCAGCCAUCAUUUAAAGAAAGCGUAAUAGCUCACUGAUCGAGUCGUCCUGCGCGGAAGAUGUAACGGGGCUAAGCCAGUUACCGAAGCUGCGGAUGUGCAAUUUAUUGCACGUGGUAGGAGAGCGUUCUGUAAGCCUGUGAAGGUGCGUUGUAAAGCGCGCUGGAGGUAUCAGAAGUGCGAAUGCUGACAUGAGUAGCGUUAAAGGGGGUGAAAAGCCCCCUCGCCGUAAGCGCAAGGUUUUCUACGCAACGUUCAUCGGCGUAGAGUGAGUCGGCCCCUAAGGCGAGGCAGAGAUGCGUAGCUGAUGGGAAACAGGUAAAUAUUCCUGUACCGAUGUGUAGUGCGAUGUGGGGACGGAGAAGGUUAGCUCAGCCAACUGUUGGAUAUGUUGGUUCAAGCCUGUAGUCAUGCCUGGUAGGUAAAUCCGCCGGGAGUAGAUGAGGGGUGGUAACGAGGCUGCUUGAAGACGAAGUGAGGUAUACCCGGCUGCCAGGAAAAGCCACGAAGCCUCAGCUAACAACGACCGUCACGACAAACGCACCUAGUGACAGAAGAUGACUACAU
rnacentral:rRNA from 1 species